CCGGGCACCCCAAAAAGGGCCCAAAUUCCCCAAGGCUGAGAUGAUGGGUUUUGGUGGUUUUGGUUUUUUUCUCCUGAAGCAAAAGGGUCCCUGGCAGCGGAUUGAGAGCGAGAGCAAGGUGCAACACCUCCACAGCCCGGUGAGGUUUGCAGGGACCGGGCACAAAAGAACACAUGACUACUAAUUCCUUUAGUUCAUAUGGAUGGCAUAGACCUUUUCCCUGGGAGUGUGGAAGUCUUACUGGUCUGGGCAUCAAAUCUGAAAGAGCAAAAUAAGGUAGGGAAUUACUCCUUGAGAAUUUCACCAUUUCAGACUACAGGUCACUGUCUGCUCUGCAACAAGUUUCCAAAAUAUUGCUUUUUGUUUUUAAAAACUGGUGCAUUGCUAGACUUAAAAGGUCGAGGAAGUGUAUUUUUAUUUUUUUGGAACCACAGAACCACCAUAAACUUCAUGUUCUGCAAUUCAGUCAUUUUAUGGUUUACAUGUGUGCUCCUCACCACUCAGGAAUACUGUAACAUGGAUAUACACUCUUCCAUAUUUUUCUUUUCAUAAACAAAACCAAGCUUCUUUGCCAGUUACUCAUUUUAGAUCAGGCAACUCUCCAAGUGGGUUAUAAAAUUCAGGUUCUCUCUUAUGUGCUUGGGCAGAACUAAAGUCAAUGGAGAUGUGACCACUGCAUGCAAGAAAUGCCUUCCAUUCUGGUGGUUUUGUAAAACUUGAGAUUCCAGCAAACCUUUCUCAAUCCAUUCUGAUUUCAUUUUGUCACAUCACAAAUUCAAACUCUGGUGUCAAUGAAUAUGCAAAAGCCAAAUUUUUGACAACAUCUCAUUCUGGUAACACUGUCUAUAAAUUAUCAACUGAACAUACUGUGUCAGGACUCAAAAACAAUAAAAGCAGGUUCUUUGUUCACUUUAUAUGAAAUAUGUAGUAUGGAUGUGGAAUGUAUAUUACACCUUCCUUCUGAGAGAUAAAUUUAGUUCAGGACCUUGGCAUAUGCUCCACUUCAGGAAGUGAAGGAAAAUGGAAGAAUUAUUCUCUUCAACAUCACAUUAAAGCAGCCCUUUUUCUUUAUAAUCUCUUAGCAUAUAAAACCUUUUACUAUCAAUGAGGGGAGAUGGCUGUAUAUGUACUUUAUAUACAGCCCUCCGUGUUGUGACAGCUUUUUCUUUCAGCCAGUGGUCGAGGAUAAUCACGGAAGGAUUAUCCAUCUGUUCUUGCCAUGUGGCACUCUGUCUUCAGUAAGGAGAUACUGCAGUUCACAGCUUCCUGCAGGUUUGGGGUUUUUUUCUGAUGUUCUCUCAUUAGCUAAAAAUUGUUUUAUUAUCCAUCUGAGUUGCUAAGUUGGAAAGUCUAGAAGACUCAUGAAGGUGACCUACUUUGGAUUAUCUGAAUUAGAACUAACCACUGCCUGUUGCAAAUAGAACUUGGUUUAGAUGCAAGGGUUUCUUUGGCUUGGGCUUUCAUUCUAGGUUUUGGGUUUUUUUUCUGUCUAUCCACUUGAUGGAAAAAGACAAGUGGUACACAAAAAAGGAUAAUCAAAAGAGAAGAGAUGGAAAAAAGAGACUUUUUCACUAAAAGUGACUUUGUAGGUUGUGUUUACAUGAUUAUCCAGUUUUUCAGAACACCUAACAGGUUUUAGACUGAAUUUACUAUGAUGACAUACCAGUGCAAAGUAUAUGUAGAGAUUUAGCCUAAUAGUCACCUGAAACAUGCUCUAUUGGUCUAAACUUCUAAUGAGGUAUCACUAUCACUUGCUGCAGGAACAAUAACUAGAAAGGAAACACAGUUUUAAAGAAGAUUUUAGUAGUCUUUUAUUUUUCCUAACACUGAAAAAUACAUUGUUUUAAAGACAAAAUUUUAUUCUUAAGCUCCUGAUAUGAUACAUUCAGGUGAUGUGGAAAUUCAUCCAUAUGAAAGCUUGCUCUGAAAACAUAUCCAAUGAAAUAGUGUAACUGUUCUUCUUAAACAUUUUGUGGUAAUUGAUUUAAUACAGGCUUUCCUGUCAGGAAACAUUGCUUAUGAUGAUAUGUCAAACCCAGUAUUGGCAGCCUCAACAGAUCAUUUGCUACCACUGAUGCACUGGUGUCCCCUGUGCACACUGGGCAGUCCCACAGGGCACAGCGUGUCAGGUGGAGCUGGGACUGUUUGCCAGUGCAUGACAGUGACAUUGGCCUGAGCUUCUGCAUAAAGUCCCCAAACCCUUGCACAAAGCUUCCCAGGGCAGGGAGUGGGGGAAGUGCACUUGUGCCAUUUUCCCCUGGGAGAGGGGAACUGAACAGGUAGCCUGAUUUCCUGCUGCAGUUUCUAACAGCUGGGUUGGCAAAAGAGUGUUUCAGCUUCCCUCUGACACUGGUCUGCCAUAUCAUGGACUAUGUGGGAUGUUACAGAACAAAGACAAUUAUAUAAAUUUAAGCAAACAAACUUAAUAACUAUUGUUAAUCUUUCUGCAUGUAGGAAGUCAUUAGCAAAAGCGGGUGCAAAAGCCUGUUUGGCUGUAAUUUGGAUGCUACAAGAAAAGGAAGUUUUCAGACAAGGCAUUUGAUGUGCCUUAAAAAAAUAGUUUUUGGAAGAGUAAGGCAUUAAUGCAAGUAUGGCAAAGAUGUCUGGGUUGUGCAUUGCAUGAUCUCUCAUUUCAAUAGCUUUUGAAUUCGUAGAAGUGGUACAUUGUAAACACCUCCUUGGAGUUAGGGAGGAUUUUGGUAAAGCUGACACCUCCUUUACAGUCUUUGAGAAUUCGUCCCAUACUGACUUUAUCUAUGCCCCAUUCUUCCAUCACAAUGGAAAACCCUCCAUAAACAUUUGUGAUUCCAUGUGACUCUAGCAAACAUGCUCUUCUCAGGAACAAGUUCCUAUCUUGGCAAGACAAAAAGGAAGGUUCUUGAAGCUAUAUGGAGACUGAGGAGCCAGAGGAGAAUUCUCGUGAGGUAGGUAACUAACAGCAGUUUUGCAGGAGCAGACAGAACAGUACCUUGACAUGCUCUUCUACAUUUGGUUGUUCACAGAAUCACAGAAUCUUUUGAGCUGGAAGGGACCCACAAGGAUCAUCAAGUCCAACUCUUAUGUGAAUGGCCCAUACAGAGAUCCAACCCACAACCUUGGCACUAUUAACAUCAUGCACCCACCAACUGAGCUAAUCCCAGGGUUGCUCUGUAUGGUUUGGGUUUCGUAACAAUUUCUGCUUUGAUGAACUUGAGGACUGGAAGGAAAAAGAGCUGGCAAACCUAUCUGUCCACAUCAGCAGCCUCAUACAAAACACACCAGCUCCCUGCAAUUUGCAGCGCUGUCUGGCUGCCCGUGCCUGAGCAGAGGCUCCCACGCAGUGCUCACUUGCACACACUUGUAGUCAGUGGUUUGUCUGCUGGUGUGUUGGCCUGCAGCUGCACCAGUCAGGUGUGCAUGGAGAUGGCCAAGUUACACCACAGUACAGCACAUACUGGUGUAACCACUUCUAAGGAAAAAGCAUGGUUCAGUGCCCACCAUCACAGCUCCAUCACUUUUGAGAAUUGAUCCUCAUCUCGCAUAGAAACACUGUGGAUGUGCUGACUUUUCAGUGAGGGCUGCUGGAUGCAGAGGCUUGUUUGCUCUGUGGUCUCACUGAGGGAGAUACUAAAUUCUACUGCUUCUACUUCAUUCAGGUCUGCCUUACAAGAGGGAGAUACCUGCAUGAUUGCAGUUCUACCUUUUGAAUAGUACAGUUCUUUCCAUGACAACACAGUGCUGAAAUUACUGGUUCCUUCCACCUAUUUAAUUAUUAAAUUGUGGGUAUGACCCAUAUCUGACUCAUUUGGCUGGAGAACAUUGUGCUCCAAAAGACCAGGAGGUGUUUGCCACUGUUGUGGUGGUGAGGUGAUGUGCAGGAGACCCCUGCCUGUGUAGUUCAUUUGUAGUACAUUGCAGAAUUGCUCAGAUACCUAAAUGUCUGUAUGCACAAAACCCAGGAUAUACAUGUAUAGGCCUUUUGAAUAUACAAGUAGAUGCCAUGGAUAAAAGUGUAGCUCACAGAAUACAGAUUAGGGAUUGGAAUUUAAAUUGCAAUACUUUGCCCCAGGACUGAUGCUAAAAGGUGUUGUAUUUCUUGUAUAGGCAGAGAAAAUUAAGAAAAGAAACUAAAUAUUAUUCAGUGAAAGGGAAAAUAAGUAGACUCUAAGUGAUUGCAUCAUGCUCUUAAAACAAUUCAAGUAUUCUCCAAAUUAUAUCAGUAUAAGAUCAAUUCUUCAGGAAGUCCAUAUAACAAGUUAUUUGUAUAUGCUGUACAAGUCACAUUUAAGAUCAAUCAAAAUGUUAUGAUGAACUUUAAUCUAACUUCUGAAUCACAUAGUAGUUUUUGACAACACACGAGUGAUCCAUUUCAACACAAUCUGCAUUCUCAGCAAAGUGACUCUCUUUUGCCCUGGAAUGGCUUCUAGUAUUGCAAUUUGAUGUAAUAGUGGCACACACCUUUCUUGAUUAGUGGAAGUAAAGUUCUGCAUUAGAUCUUUAUUUCACUGAAAAGUACUGCAAUAAAGUAUUUUAAAUCUCUCAUGAUGUAAAUAAGCAUCUCAAAUUCCUGUAAAUUCAAUUAGGUCUCGACCCAUAAAAGCACUUCAUUAUAUGUAUGGGCCCAUUGAAUUUGGGGACAUAUGCAAGGGCUUCAAUCAAAACAUACUUAGGAGCUUUGCUGAGUCGAGCCCUUACAAAAUGAUGCUGUGCAGAUCAGCUGCUAUUCAUCAUAUGUAUUUAAGUGAAUAUGGUAAUUUGCUUGUUAGCCCAAAAAGAGGCUCUAGAUUUCUUCUCAAUUAGUUAUAUACAGGUAGAUCUCACAUUGCUAUUUCCUCCUCAACCCUGAUCCUCCAGAUUCACACAACUGUUGAUGAGACUAUAGCUGAUCCUACACAACACUGGAACUUCUCAAACAGCCACAUUUUUGCCUGGAAACUGAACCAACAAAUUUGGUAGCUCAUUCUGCUAGAUGAACUCUGCUGAAACAGAUUCUUACCUCAGACUUACAUUUACCUGAGCACGGAUGAAAAAUGCAAGGAAGAUCUAUGUCAUUUAUUUUUAAGCCCCAUGUAGUGAAGAAAAAGUCAUAUUAUGAAUUUCAUGCAUUAUUCUCUCCUUUGUGCUAUAUAUAAUUGGCAGAGCUUUUCAGUGAAAAAACUAUCUGGCCAAAUUCUCAGAGCCUCAUGCUCUGCAAAAAUCUGUCUUAAAUUAAUCUAUAUUAGGAGUAAUAUUCAAGUUGACUGCACUCAUAUGAAAAAUGUAUUUAAAAAAGGUCUAGCAGAUACAAUCUGCUAUUUCUUGCCUGACUUUGUUCCCUGCUGUUGUUGGUCUCUCACGGGAUUUCUUGCAGAGUGCUUAAGUGAUCUAUACUGAGGUUUCAAAAGCAAAGAUAAUAGGAGUUCUAUUCAUGGGUUAAACACUUAGCUGCUUUAAUACAAGAUGUGUAGGAGCAGCCCCUAAUGACAUUCAAAUCUUGUUAUUGCUGUGCUUCAGUAUAGGAUAUACUUGGUUUUGUGGCUGCAAGAAGCGAUUGCCAGAGAUGACUGUAAAUCCCGAACAGCAAAUAAAUCCCAGCACAUGGAAAUGAUGCCUGAUUUUUCUCCUACAGCAGCACAUCUUUGGACUCCACCGUGCUGGCUCCUGACUUACAGCAAAGCAAGUGACCCAGAGCAGUCAGUGGCUUGUACCAUACCUACCUUGGGAUCUGGCUGCAGGGACACCAGCUCUUAACUUCACAUUAGCCUAACAUUUCUAACCCUUCCUUUUGCAAAACACUGCUGCCUGUCCUUAGUGUCCUGACUUUUGGACAUUCCCCUAAAAGCAGUAUUGUGGCAAGCUCUGAGCCUUCAGUAUUUUUGAAUUGCAUGUCCAACUUAUUUUUCUUAUGUUCUCCAAGGCUUGCUAGUACUUGCCACCAUUCCCUGGUAUAGAUAAUUGUACUGAAAACAUUUACAGGAACACUCCUACAGUUCUUCAAGCAAAUUUGUCUGACAUAGCUCAGACUAUCCAUUUAUAAACUUAAAACUUGCCCAGCUGUCUCUGUCAGAAGCCUAUUAGGCAGCACUCUCACAAACUGCUCUCCUCCAGAGCAGUAAAGACUAUUUGAGAAUGGUGAACUUGUCCUCUGACACAGCUGGACUGGAAAGGAAGUGGAAAUGAGUGAAAAGAGUAACCCCCCUCUCUGGGUUCUAAGUAGUUGUGCAAAAGGGCUAAAAAGCUACUUACUUAGUCUUACAAUGGAGAAAUGAAAAUGAGCACCCUGAAGAAGGAGAAACACUUCUGGCUCUGCUGCUCUUUGUCUCACAUUGCCACUUACUUCAUCUUCAGGACUAAUCUGCAAAAUAUUACUUUUGACCAAGCAGAAGUAUCACAGGAACAAUUAAAUAUCUUGUGGAGGAGAAAGUACUGUACUCUUUACCACCCCUUGCUAAAAGCCAAUAAGCAAACCAUCAAGUCCUUAACCCAGCAUGGGGUAACACUGGAAAUGGUAAAUGCUGUGACACAGCCUACUGUGCUGUAUCAUAAGGAAAAAGAUAAAUGAAAAUAUGUAUUAUAUGUCUUGGGACAAUAUUAGUAGAUAUGCUUGUGACCUUUAAGUAUAUGUAAGACUGUUGCAAAGAGAAAAGCAAUUAAUUGUUCUGAGUUCAAUUACAACAAGAAAAUAUUUAGAAAGACAUUAAUAAAACUUUCUAGGCACUGUUAAAAUCAUUUAGGGAGGUUGUGAAGUCUCCAAAAACAGUUUGGAUGAAUAAGCUUUGGAAUGGCUUAAGUGCUUCUGAUUUUCCCCGAGGUCAAAAUGAGUUUUUGGGAUCCCUUCCCUCCCAGUGUGCUGCAAUACUACAGAACAUGCUAGCAGGUGAACCAAAGGGGCAGGAGCCUGCCAAUUCCACAUGGAAACACAGAUGAAUUUGAUUUUUCAUAUCUGCAAAUAAGGAUGCUAGAAAAAUAAACACAGUAUUAAUAUAUAGUAUUAUUUUUUUGAAAGAAUCUGGAGAAACAGUUGCAAUAAGAAGAUCCAAUCAUGGCUUAAGAAAUGUUUGCAAGGAACAGAAACAGGAGACCUGAAUUCAGUGUUGGUGAAAGGCUGGCAGCACCCACAAGCGAGUGCUGCAUUUCCCACCCCAGCGGGAAGUGGCAGCACGAGGUUGGGCAGAGCCUGUGAGCUCCAGCAGAGGCUCGUGUGGGCAGCUCCUCUGAGCCCUUCAUUUAGAGGCUAAUUCAGCUUUUAAUUGACUGAGCUCAUCCCUUUGGCUGGCAGCAGUUAUUCUGCAUGCAGAUCCCUGGGUGUCUCUUGCACCUUGCAUGCACUGCAGCUACGUGGCUGAGAUUGCUCCUCUCCUUCAGAACUCAUGGGGAACACAGCCAUUGCAGCAAACAGCUAAAUAAGGCUUUUGGCCGCCAAAUUUCAGUUUCAUUGCCAUCAGAACAUCACUUAUCACAGCUGGGCUAUAAUUUUCAGGCUUAUAAAACUUCAAUUGUCAUGUUUGGAUUUUCUUUAACACUUAUUAUAAAUGCUGAAUUUGAUUUGUGUAGAAUGGAAUGACUCUCAGUGGCUCAGGGAUUUGGCAAAGACCUUCACAUAUUUCAUCAAAAUUCUGUUUGGCCUAGAGAGGCGUUACAAUUCUAGAUAAAAAAUGUGCUUUUUUAAUACAGAAGUAAUUUGUAAUAGAAUGUUCCAAAAUAAUUCUGUAUUAAAGAUGAACUAAAACAAAGCUAAUAUGAUCUUUGCCUCUCCUCCAUGGGAAUGAAUUCAGAUUGAAAAAAUGGAAUUGGAAGAGUCUGAUUUAACACAUUUUUCAAAAUACAUGGGUGAGUGCAGGGGAAGGAAGCAAUUCCAUCACCUUGAGCAGGAGGCCUAGAAGUGAGCACGUACAGUUCCUUGCAGUAAUCCUUGGAGCUCUCUAGGAGCCAUAGGUAGUGUGAGGGAGCUGCAACAUUUGUGUAAAUCAUAAUUAGUAACAAGGCAAAUUACAUUGAGAGCUCUUUGGUAAAGGGGAAGCCUGCUGAAAUCUGCUUCCUUUUAGUAGGACAAUUCGGAUCAUUUAAAGGCAUCUGAACAUUUAGAAAAAUCUAGGAAGAAUCUUAAAAUGUCAUAUUUGUAAAACAAAAGAUAAAAUUUUCUCCUUUUAGGGGGAAAACUAUAUAACUUGAAUCUAUAUUUACAUUUGGUUGAAGCCUUCGACUAAGCAAAGACAUAUGUUAGAGGUCUUAUUUUCACAUGUAAUUUUGGUGUUCUGGUAAAUGCAAAUGAUGGAAGAAGUUGACAUGAAUAAAUUGGCACCAGUUUAGAAGUCACCUCAUUGCAAAGCGAGAGAUAUUUGGGAUUGUUCAUCUCCUUGCUACAGGGAAGAUUUCUGGUGUUGUCAGUCAGACACAUGAUAUGUAUCAGGAAUGGUUUCAGCUCUAGGCUGAGAAACUACAAGCUCUUGAAGGAGCCAAGAAACAAAUGUAAUACUUGAGCAUGUUUACUGUAAAAUGAAGGGCUAUUUUAUCUCAAUCAAAUAAACCAACAAGUGAACUGCAAAUCUGAUACUGAAAUAAAUCCAAUUUACUCUUGUGUAA